rnacentral:rRNA from 1 species
UACGUAGGGAGCAAGCGUUGUCCGGAAUCAUUGGGCGUAAAGCGCGCGUAGGCGGCUCGAUCAGUCUGUUGUGAAAGUCAAAGGCUCAACCUUUGAAUGCCGAUGGAUACUGUCGAGCUAGAGUCCGGAAGAGGCGAGUGGAAUUCCUGGUGUAGCGGUGGAACGCGCAGAUAUCAGGAGGAACACCAACGGCGAAGGCAGCUCGCUGGGACGGUACUGACGCUAAGGCGCGAAAGCGUGGGGAGCGAACAGG